CUUUAAAAAUCUGGAUCAAGCUGAAAAUUGAAACACUGAACAACGUAAGUUGUUCGUGAGUCUCUCAAAUUUUCGCGACACGAUGGUGUUUUACGAAACAUCUUCGG
rnacentral:sRNA from 1 species